rnacentral:lncRNA from 1 species
CACCCAUUUAAAAUUUGAGAUAUCAUACCAUUUAUUUACAUGAUAAUAAUAAAUGGACAACCUUAUACAAUAUGUAUAACUACUGCCACAUUAAAUAACCAUUUACACAAAAUUGACUGUAGCUUAUCGACUCAUAAUGCAUCAAAACUUAGUUCUGCCAGAAAAUUUACAGAAAAAUAACAAAGUUAACAACAUAUAUGCAAGACUAACUAAACCCUCUAAUAAACAGGUACGUGAACAUGUAGGAGUCUUAAUAAACCUUCUGAUCGGGUCAAACAACCUUAUACUAAGAAAACAUGGAGAAAGGACUGUCAAGCUCCAUUCUAGCUUUCCCAAAUUAGUAGAGGUAUGUUGAAGCAUGUUGACCUGUGAAUGAAGUGCGUGACGGCGUUAUAAGAAACGUUCAACAUCUGAAACACAUUAUUAUGCUUAAUUCAACAUAUACUUAAAAUUUAUAGGAUAAAAAUGAAAAUGAAUAUCGGAACUAAUGGUUAACACAAUCUGUUCUUGAAGUACUGAAGUUGUGUGUGUACAACAAUACAAUAAUAUACAUUUUAAUUUUCUAAACUGGAAUAGAACAUAUUUCCUAUACACACAAAAAUAUUUCUUUUACAAGUAGGCAAAAAUUAAUGAAGCUUAUGAUUCGAACUGAUGUACCUUACCAAAAGGAGAAACCAGGAUCUGAAGUGUUGUAAUUUUGUCUAAUAUUUUUUAGCUCCUCUUCACUGGCACCUGCAACCAC